CAAACAUAUGUAUUAUAUUUUCUGUGCUUAUACCGUUACCGUGUAGUUGUGUGUCUUGUCGUGUUUUUUGUAAAUUUCGGCGUUGUUUCCUAAUACAUACUUAACAUAAAAUGCCACAUAAAUGUGCCAUGGCAGACUAGAUGCGUAAAGCAGGAGAUGCUGGAAUAAUAGUGUUUUCAUUACCGAAAAAUCCUGCUAUCUGAGACAAGUGGCUCCAGUUUGCGAACAUUGAUGCCAGAGAAAAUAGGAGCAUUCGCAUAUUAAUUUAAUAUUUAAAUAAUUUUAAUUUUUAAUUAAUUUAAAAACUUAAUUGUAUAAUCGUGCAUACAUAUUUUAAAGAAUAUAUUGUAU